rnacentral:rRNA from 1 species
AGCGAACGCUGGCGGCAGGCUUAACACAUGCAAGUCGAGCGGGCAUAGCAAAAUGUCAGCGGCAGACGGGUGAGUAACGCGUGGGAACGUACCUUUUGGUUCGGAACAACUGAGGGACACUUCAGCUAAUACCGGAUAAGCCCUUACGGGGAAAGAUUUAUCGCCGAAAGAUCGGGCCGCGGGUGAUUAGCUAGUUGGUGAGGUAAUGGGUCACCAAGGCGACGAUCAGUAGCUGGUCUGGGAGGAUGAUCAGCCACAUUGGGACUGAGACACGGCCCAAACUCUUACGGGAGGCAGCAGUGGGGAAUAUUGGACAAUGGGCGCAAGCCUGAUCCAGCCAUGCCGCGUGAGUGAUGAAGGCCCUAGGGUUGUAAAGCUCUUUUGUGCGGAAGAUAAUGACGGUACCGCAAGAAUAAGCCCCGGCUAACUUCGUGCCAGCCGCCGCCGUAAAAC